AACGAACGUUGGCGGCGUGCUUAACACAUGCAAGUCGAGCGCGAACGUAUCCUUCGGGAUGCUAGUAGAGCGGCGCACGGGUGAGUAACACGUGAGUAACCUGCCCUGAAGUUUGGGAUAACCAAUGGAAACGCUGGCUAAUACCGAAUAAGCCCCCGGCAGCGGAUGCUGCAGAGGGAAAAGAUUUAUCGCUUCAGGAUGGGCUCGCGUCCCAUUAGAUAGUUGGUGAGGUAACGGCUCACCAAGUCAAAGAUGGGUAGCUGGUCUGAGAGGACGAUCAGCCACACUGGGACUGAGACACGGCCCAG
rnacentral:rRNA from 1 species